rnacentral:rRNA from 1 species
UACGGGGGGAGCAAGCGUUGUUCGGAUUUACUGGGCGUAAAGGGCGCGUAGGCGGCCACCGCAAGUCGGUUGUGAAAUCUCCGGGCUUAACCCGGAAAGGUCAACUGAUACUGCGCGGCUAGAGUGCAGAAGGGGCAACUGGAAUUCUCGGUGUAGCGGUGAAAUGCGUAGAUAUCGAGAGGAACACCUGCGGCGAAGGCGGGUUGCUGGGCUGACACUGACGCUGAUGCGCGAAAGCCAGGGGAGCGAACGGG